GCAGGCUGUGUCUUUACCACUGAGCCACCAGGGAAGUCCAAGGUACCCAAAGGAUAUUUCCUUCUUCUUAAAAUCCAAUGCUUUAGCCUAUGCCUUAUUGGUUGUUCUGAGUUGGCUUUCCCAGUGUGUGGACAUGAAAUCAACAUGAAAUCAACAGGGGAAAGUUAGAAAGUUUAUGAAUAUCACAGCCCUCAAGUACUGUGGUGACUUUUAACAUGUUUACUUGACAAGGCCAAACUGUUUCCUAGAAUUCCCUUCGUUGAUUUUCCUGUUAUAAUAAGGAGAAUCUUGGGGGAGACUGGGAAGGUGAGGGUGAAACAAGAACCAAUUUGGAGCUCCUAUGUGUUGUUCCUGAUAUGAUGACUCACUUCAGUUUGUGUGAAGCAGAGGCUGGGUCCCACUUUCCCCUGGACCCUCUCUCAGCUUCAACUCCAGCUCAUGACAAAGGGCCUUGGCUUCUGCAGGACGCCCACACUGCCAGUUUCAAAGGCAACAAGCUCUGCAUGGAUUUCAGUCCAUUUGACAAAGUUCCAGCUGGUUCUUUUUCUUCCCCACUGCACAUGCCUCCUUCCUUCCUGACUGCCUGCCCCACAAAUCUCAGACUGAUGUGCAAGGAUGUCAGAUUUACACAGUCCUAACCCUUGAUCCGGAGAAGGCAAUGGCAACCCA